UACAUGUGGGGCAAGCGUUGUUCGGAAUUACUGGGCAUAAAGGGUGCGUAGGUGGCUUGUUAAGUCAGGGGUGAAAGUUUUCGGCCCAACCGGAAAAUGGCCUUUGAUACUGGCGAGCUCGAGUGCGUGAGGGGUAACCGGAACGAGCAGUGUAGCGGUGAAAUGCGUAGAUAUUGGGAAGAACACCGGUGGCGAAGGCGGCUCUCUGGACCACAACUGACGCUGAGGCGCGAAAGCGUGGGGAGCAAACAGG
rnacentral:rRNA from 1 species